ensembl:lncRNA
GUGCGUCACCAACCUCCUUUCGUCCUUGUCCGAUUCAAACGAACGGCCCUCUAAACUGGCCUGUGGUCGUGAUCACCAGCCCUCGGGGGUCGCAGCCCACCCGUGCUCCUGUGUCUUUAACUAGGAAUCUUGUUUGGAGCCCAGAGUCCUACAACUCAGGGCGGGCUGCUCAAACUCAGCAUUUUAAUGAAAAUUUUCAGAUGAAGACCAGGGGAUUCGGAAAGCCUGUAAUGAUCUGAGAAAUUUAUUAAGAAGGGAUUCCCAAGCAGAGCUGUGCCCGAGUCAAGGGCUGAUUGUACGUGGGGGAUGUUGAUGACGGAAGACCUCAGGGAGGAGAUAAGGAAGUCUAAGCACCGCGACGGUAAAUAACGGGCCUAGUUGGCAGAAGGAGGUUAUGAAUCCUGCAAACUGCUUCUGGACCUUAUGUACUUAAAGCAGAACAUCCAACAACCUGAUUUGCUCAAAGGAAACUAUUUUCAUUUCAUAAAUGAAAGGCCGCUUUCAUCACUAUAACAAAUCCUUUAAGCACAGACUCUGCUGCAGUUUUGAACUGGUUUUCCUGAAAGCUCUCCGAUGCCAGCCAAGACAAGUGUCCUGACUAUUGCCUGACAAAGCCAAGUUAAAGGGAACUAGGGAAACACCACAAUUCAC